CCUACGGGUGGCAGCAGUGAGGAAUAUUGGUCAAUGGACGCAAGUCUGAACCAGCCAUGCCGCGUGAAGGAUGAAGGCGUUUGCGUCGUAAACUUCUUUUAUCUGGGAAGCGGUACCAGAGGAAUAAGCACCGGCUAACUCCGUGCCAGCAGCCGCGGUAAUACGGAGGGUGCAAGCGUUAUCCGGAUUUACUGGGUUUAAAGGGUGUGUAGGCGGAACUUUAAGUCAGUGGUGAAAUCUUCAGGCUCAACCUGGAAACUGCCAUUGAUACUAUUUUUCUUGAAUCUUGUGGAGGUAGGCGGAAUGUGUCAUGUAGCGGUGAAAUGCAUAGAUAUGACACAGAACACCGAUUGCGAAGGCAGCCUACUACGCAAGAUUGACGCUGAGGCACGAAAGCGUGGGGAUCAAACAGGAUUAGAUACCCUUGUAGUC
rnacentral:rRNA from 1 species